rnacentral:rRNA from 1 species
CCAAUAGCGUAUAUUAAAGUUGUUGCAGUUAAAAAGCUCGUAGUUGAACUUCGAGAUUCGUCCAUUGGUCAGGCUUAACUGUCUGUACUGAUGUUUCGGAUUUCUACCUUCUGAAGAACCUUCAUGUCAUUAAUUUGGUGUGUUGGGGAAUCAGGACUGUUACUUUGAAAAAAUUAGAGUGUUUAAAGCAGGCUAACGUCUGAAUACAUUAGCAUGGAAUAAUGAAAUAGGACGGUACGGUUCUAUUUUGUUGGUUUCUAGGAUCGCCGUAAUGAUUAAUAGGGAUAGUUGGGGGCAUUAGUAUUCAAUUGUCAGAGGUGAAAUUCUUGGAUUUAUUGAAGACUAACUACUGCGAAAGCAUUUGCCAAGGAUGUUUUCAUUAAUCAAGAACGAAAGUUAAGGGAUCGAAGACGAUCAGAUACCGUCGUAGUCUUAACCAUAAACUAUGCCGACUAGGGAUUGGACGAUGUUAAUUUUUAAAUGACUCGUUCAGCACCUUACG